GAUGACUCUGCCAGCUUGCCACCUUAAAUGUAGUAGUAAUAAUAAAAACAAAAUAGCACACACUUCCAUCUCACAUGCAAAAAUAUUUGCUUUGGUACAGGUGCUGGUAACCUACACUAAACCAUUCUAUCGAAUCUCUAGUGUGCUAAACUUCAACACUGAUGUGCUAACGUUCAUUAACAGGAGUGGCUGUUAAAAAGGUUGAAGUUGUAAUUUAAUGAAUCUCAGCAGUUCCUUUAAUAUCUCUUAUUUUUUUACAGCUGCUAAAUCAAAUAACAGCUCUAAGCAUUUAGAAUUAUUGUAAAGAUUCAUUAUUUAUGAGAAAUAAUGGCUCAUUUGUCCUCCAAAAACCUCAUUGAUCUAGAUAUUGUUUUUUUUUUCAAGAAAUCUCAAAACAUCGAACAUUUGUAAAAUGAACAGAAAUAUUACAAUUGGUAUGGAACUGCCAGCAAGAGUGAAUUGAUGUAUAAAUAGUAAAAGAUCACUAGCUUUUGGAGUUCACAAACUUCUAGUAGGUUAAUGGAAUCCACAGACAUGAAAUGAAUAAGUUUAUAUACAAUGAAUAUAUUUGUGAAUUUUAUUGACUGGACUUUGCAGCCACAUACCACCCACAAGUUUCCUUGAGAUCUACGAUUUAUUUAUUUUAAAAUUUGAAUUGUCUUCCUAAUGAAUGGUAAUUCCUUCUCAGACAACAAAAGACAUUUUUGAAGGUUAAAUUUUGAGAUUAAUUUGAGACACAAAAGACAUUUUUGAAGGUUAAAUUUUGAGAUUAAUUUCAUGAGAGAAAGAAAAAGAAAGAGACAGACAGAUAUGGGGAGAGGGGCAGGAAGUGGAGACAGAUGGAGGGAGGGAGGAGGGUUAGAUUGACCACAGAUUAAUUCUGCCAUGUUUAGUAAUUAGCACUGUUUGUACUAAUUAACAAGACAGCAUUAUAUUUUCACACUAUUCCAUUCUAUUUUAUUGUGAAUAUGUAAAUAAAAUCUAAACAUCAAACUAAUCA